AAUUUUGUCUAAAACACAAGUUAAUUAGAAGAAAUAUAAGUUGGUGUCACGUCACAACACUACUUACAAAUCCAGCUACUAAGUUACCGUUAUUCGAAUAACGAAUCACUCAUUUAACAUAUUAGCACAGAAAAAUAAUAUCUCAAGACGCCAUCAAUAAAAAAAUGUAUCAAAAUACAGAAUAUCUCCAAGUUGGAAAGAAGCUAGUUUUAUUUCCUAAUCACCCUAGUGCAUGGAAUCAUGUUCAUGAGAGG
rnacentral:lncRNA from 1 species